GACAGAGGGUGCAAACGUUGUUCGGAUUUACUGGGCGUAAAGGGCGCGUAGGCGGCCACCGCAAGUCGACUGUGAAAUCUCCGGGCUUAACCCGGAAAGGUCAGCCGAUACUGCGGGGCUAGAGUGCAGAAGGGGCAACUGGAAUUCUCGGUGUAGCGGUGAAAUGCGUAGAUAUCGAGAGGAACACCUGCGGCGAAGGCGGGUUGCUGGGCUGACACUGACGCUGAGGCGCGAAAGCUAGGGGAGCGAACGGG
rnacentral:rRNA from 1 species